rnacentral:tRNA from 1 species
GUUACACUUUGGUUACAGCUUAAAUGAAGAGGCCGCAACCUCCUUUCUAUCAAGGGUUAUUUUGAUGCCGUACCGGUUCGAUUCCGGUCUGCGGCA